CUGGCGAAACAAAACUAUCCAUAGCCGCUGCAUGUUUAUGCACAUGUCCUGAUUGAUUGAGGGGCCGGACGUUCAGCAGUUAUCGUUUGUUGAUGUUGUUCAUUGGUAUUUUCCCGUUUGGAUAUACAUGAUAUAUAAAUUAGAUCGUUGGUUUUCCUGUUCGAAUUGUGUACUCUAAUAAUUUUGGGAUCCUUUAUAGCCUGCUGUUUGGUCUGUAUCAAAGCCCUGUGUAAAAGACCGUACUUUGACCUGUGUUUGUUAUUAUCAGGUUGAGAACAACCCUUCCUCAGACAAGGG
rnacentral:lncRNA from 1 species